rnacentral:rRNA from 1 species
UACGGGGGGAGCAAGCGUUGUUCGGAUUCAUUGGGCGUAAAGGGUGCGUAGGCGGUCUGCUAAGUUUGAUGUGAAAUCCCGGGGCUCAACCCUGGAAUUGCAUUGAAUACUGGUGGACUAGAGUACUGGAGAGGAAACUGGAAUUUACGGUGUAGCAGUGAAAUGCGUAGAGAUCGUAAGGAAGACCAGUGGCGAAGGCGAGUUUCUGGACAGUAACUGACGCUGAGGCACGAAGGCCAGGGGAGCAAACGGG